GAAAGGGAAAAGGAGGAAGAUGGGCUGGUGGAGAAGAGUUGUUGGCGGGCUGGGUAAUUGACGAGAAUAAUAAGGGGAGGGGAGGGAAGGGAAGGAAAGGGGACGGGAGGGAAGGGGAGAAGAGAACGAGAUAUGGUUUCAAGUUUGAUUUCUUUUUUUUUUUUUUAAAUUUUUAUAUAUUUUAUUUUAAUUUCAUUAAGGAUAAAAUUGUCAAUUAGCAUAAAAAAUUAUUUGAAUUAAUAUAUUUUUAUUUCUAUGGUUAUUAUUAACUUUUUCUUAUGUAAACUGGUUAUUUACGAGUAUUAACAUAAUUU
rnacentral:lncRNA from 1 species